GAAAUGCGAUAAGUAAUGUGAAUUGCAGAAUUCAGUGAAUCAUCGAAUCUUUGAACGCACCUUGCGCCCUUUGGACAUUCCGAAGGGCAUGCCUGUUUGAGUAUCAUGAACACCUCAACUCUUUAUGGUCUUCCAUGAUGAGCUUGGACUUUGGGGGGUUUUGCUGGCCUACAGUCAGCUCCUCUAAAAUGAAUCAGCUUGCCGGUGUUUGGUGGGUAUCAUGGGUGUGAUAACUAUCUACGCUCGUGGUUUUCCACCAGGUAACCUUCAGCAGUGGAGGUUCACUGGAGCUCAUAGAUGUCUCUCCUCAGUGAGGACAGCCCUUUGAAUGUUUGAUCUCAAAUCAGGUAGGACUACCCGCUGAACUUAA
rnacentral:misc_RNA from 1 species